rnacentral:tRNA from 1 species
AAUGUAGUGUCUGAAAAAGAGUCACUUUGAUAGAGUGGAAUACGUGAAUAAUCACCUUCAUUA